GGAACAUAUUCACUAUGUUUUGUAUAAAACUAAUUAGAUCAUUGAAUAUUAACAUUUCUUAGCAUUCUCGAAGAACCUACUUUGCAAAAUGGAUUAUUAACUUUUACCAACCUGUAUAGGGUUGACUUUCCUUUAGUGAGAUUGAGUUUUAAUGUAACUUGUCUUGACAUGAAUUAUGUAAAGGGUUUAUCAAAAGGGUUGACUAAAGUCAGUAGGCCG
rnacentral:misc_RNA from 1 species